rnacentral:rRNA from 1 species
UGGGGAAUUUUGGACAAUGGGGGAAACCCUGAUCCAGCCAUCCCGCGUGUGCGAUGAAGGCCUUCGGGUUGUAAAGCACUUUUGACAGGAAAGAAACGUCAUGGGUUAAUACCCCGUGAAACUGACGGUACCUGCAGAAUAAGCACCGGCUAACUACGUGCCAGCAGCCGCGGUAAUACGUAGGGUGCAAGCGUUAAUCGGAAUUACUGGGCGUAAAGCGUGCGCAGGCGGUUCGGAAAGAAAGAUGUGAAAUCCCAGAGCUCAACUUUGGAACUGCAUUUUUAACUACCGGGCUAGAGUGUGUCAGAGGGAGGUGGAAUUCCGCGUGUGGCAGUGAAAUGCGUAGAUAUGCGGAGGAACACCGAUGGCGAAGGCAGCCUCCUGGGAUAACACUGACGCUCAUGCACGAAAGCGUGGGGAGCAAACAGG